GUAAGAUCAUAAAAACAUAUCCUUACAUGCAAUUUUAAAAAUGUGUUUUUCACACUAAUGUAUUUCCUAUUAUGUUCUGCAAAAUACAUUUAAUGUAUACGUGGAUUUUGAAACACUUUCAGGAGAUAAAUUUUGAAGAUGACUGGAAGCUCAUCACUCUCUUCAUCGGAGCAAAUGAUGUGUGCAGCUACUGUGAAGACCAGAUAAAGCACUCGCCCGAACGCUACAUUAACCACAUACAGACUGCGUUGGAUAUGCUCCACAAAGAGGUAUCGAUGCACUUUACCUGGGCACAUCAUUACAGUUUAAAUUGACAUCAGUGUUUUUCAUCCACGCUCCGUAAAAAAAAAAGACAUCCCCUUUGAGUGCACUUUCCCUGCUCGUUCAGGUACCAAGGGCCUUUGUCAACUUGGUGGAGAUUCUGUACAUCGAGCCGCUACGGAAACUCCACCAGGACGAGAACAAGUGCCCCAAACAGCUCAUGAGCAUUCUGUGUGGAUGCAUCGUGGACCCCACAAACCCAGAUGACUUGGCAGUGGUGACCAAAGCAAACAGGGCUUACCAGGUAUGCAUAUUUCUCCGAGAGGGCCUCAGAGACUCCCAGCUAAGUACAUGAUGAACUAGGCUUUGCUUUUUAUUGUUCAAAGGAUUUACAAAACUCAACGAAAACUACAUUCCCAUGGCCUUAAUUGCUGAUGAUAACGAAUGAAUCGAGAUGUCUGGACAAUGAAAUCGAAGUUUCACCAAGUGCCGUGGCAUUGCCGUUUGUUAUAUAUUGUUUAACUUU